rnacentral:rRNA from 1 species
AAUAGAUACCCGGGUAGUCCACGCCGUAAACGAUGAAUGCUAGGUGUUAGGGGUUUCGAUACCCUUGGUGCCGAAGUUAACACAUUAAGCAUUCCGCCUGGGGAGUACGGUCGCAAGACUGAAACUCAAAGGAAUUGACGGGGACCCGCACAAGCAGUGGAGUAUGUGGUUUAAUUCGAAGCAACGCGAAGAACCUUACCAGGUCUUGACAUCCCCCUGACCGGUACAGAGAUGUACCUUUCCUUCGGGACAGGGGAGACAGGUGGUGCAUGGUUGUCGUCAGCUCGUGUCGUGAGAUGUUGGGUUAAGUCCCGCAACGAGCGCAACCCUUGACUUUAGUUGCCAGCAGGUAAGGCUGGGCACUCUAGAGUGACUGCCGGUGACAAACCGGAGGAAGGUGGGGAUGACGUCAAAUCAUCAUGCCCCUUAUGACCUGGGCUACACACGUACUACAAUGGCUGGUACAACGGGAAGCGAAGGAGCGAUCCGGAGCGAAUCCUAAAAAGCCAGUCUCAGUUCGGAUUGCAGGCUGCAACUCG